rnacentral:rRNA from 1 species
AAUGAACGCUGGCGGCAGGCCUAACACAUGCAAGUCGAGCGAAGUCUUCGGACUUAGCGGCGGACGGGUGAGUAACGCGUGGGAACGUGCCCUUUGCUUCGGAAUAGCCCCGGGAAACUGGGAGUAAUACCGAAUGUGCCCUACGGGGGAAAGAUUUAUCGGCAAAGGAUCGGCCCGCGUUGGAUUAGGUAGUUGGUGGGGUAAUGGCCUACCAAGCCGACGAUCCAUAGCUGGUUUGAGAGGAUGAUCAGCCACACUGGGACUGAGACACGGCCCAGACUCCUACGGGAGGCAGCAGUGGGGAAUCUUAGACAAUGGGGGAAACCCUGAUCUAGCCAUGCCGCGCGAUCGAUGAAGGCCUUAGGGUUGUAAAGAUCUUUCAGGUGGGAAGAUAAUGACGGUACCACCAGAAGAAGCCCCGGCUAACUCCGUGCCAGCAGCCGCGGUAACAC